AGCCCUAAGUGGGUGGUAAACUCCAUCUAAGGCUAAAUAUGACCACGAGACCGAUAGCGAACAAGUACCGUGAGGGAAAGUUGAAAAGCACUUUGAAGAGAGAGUUCAAGAGUACGUGAAACCGUUUAGGGGUAAACCUGAGAAACCCGAAAGGUCGAAGGAAGAAAUUCAUUCGCGUUUCGUCGCAGGCGUCGAGCGGGAUUUGUGUGACGGGUAGCACGUUCGCGUGUUUCCCGCGCCUCCCGUUCUUCGAACCGGUGACGAACGCGUGCACUUUUCUUCUGGUAGGACGUCGCGAUCCGUUGGGUGUCGGUCUACGGCUCGCGGUGGAGCCCGUUCGUCGUACUUCUCGUACGUACGAAUGGACCCGCGUGUCCCGGCUGACUCGCUCGACGGUAUACGAAAGGUUUAAGGCCGCUCUCGGAGCGUUCGGCUCGNGGCAAGCGCGCCAGAUGUGUGUCGGCGACCGGACCUAGUGCCGAUUCUGACCUCUGGUGACUGUUGGCCGCGAAGUUCUCGAACAGACCUUAUUAUUAAUACCGAUCUGCGACGCUAUAGCUUUGGGUACUUUCAG
rnacentral:rRNA from 1 species